AGCUGUUGAACCGGCUUCUGAAGCGGAAACUGCUGGCUAGUUAGCUGUUGAACUGGCUUCUGAAGCGGAAACUGCUGGCUAGUUAGCUGUUGAACUGGCUUCUGAAGCGGAAACUGCUGGCUAGUUAGCUGUUGAACUGGUUUCUGAAGCGGAAACUGCUGGCUAGUUAGCUGUUGAACCGGCUUCUGAAGCGGAAACUGCUGGCUAGUUAGCUGUUGAACCGGCUUCUGAAGCGGAAACUGCUGGCUAGUUAGCUGUUGAACUGGCUUCUGAAGCGGAAACUGCUGGCUACUUAGCUGUUGAACUGGCUUCUGAACUGGAAACUGCUGGUCAGUUUGCUGAAUCAUCAGAGCUUGAGCAUCCUGAAGUGAUUUUCUCCACUGUGGAACAGCAUUACAAAAAGCACAGACCAUCAAAAUCUGAACCAAACACAAAAUUCCAGCCAUUAUUGAACAGCUAAACAGAAA